AUACAGUGCUAUAGCUGCUUGCUGCCAGAUGAAUAAUGGAAAUACAAUUGCAGAUGCCUACUCGUCUACUGCCAACAUUUGUCUCCCUAACGGGCGUUCUUUCACUCGAUGGUGGCAGAAACGCGGCAAAACCGACUCGUCUACGAUAAACAGACGAUGCUCCCGCUCUCCAUCAACAGUCUGCAACAAUAACAAUAGUCAAAAGCCAGUUACUUUUACAGCUUUACGAUUUCUUUGGCUUCAUUUUCAUCGAAGAAAAUGCUGUAAAAUUGUCGAUAACUCCUGACCAGAGCUGAUAACAGCAAGCAUUUAGUGCUGAUGAAUGCACGCUGAACCGUAUAUAAAUGGAAUCCACCAAGGAUUUACGAUAAAAUAAAUACCUGAGAUGGAAGGAACGUGAAUGCUAGGAAGGAAAGUGCAUUGUACACCAGAUUAAAGACCAGAAGUUCCAGGAAAAGAGCAUGUUGCACCCGGUCUUGGUAUCUCCUGAAAAGUUGCUGAGAUU